UCUCUUUUGCCAUUUUCAGAUUUUUCAUGCCCUUAUACCCUCCACACUCUCUUACACGACCACAUGGAUAUUUUCCCCACUUUCCUACACUUUCUUUCCAACCAAACAAGGGAAGGAGGAGACAUGAAUGGUAGAAGUUGUGACAGGACCAGGAAUAACAAGUCAGGAUGAUGAUGAAGGCUAAGGAUGUAAUCAACUCUGAGUUUGAAAGGAUUCAGUCAUGACUUGCUUGGAGAUAGCUGAGACUAGAAGGAUGCCUUAUUGAUUACCUUUGUUAAGGCCUUUUAGACAAAGCUUGUUAUAUUAAUGUGUAACAAGGAGUUUCAUACUCCAUUACUAAGAAGUAUGAUUUUAAAAAACUACGAAUGAAGUUGGGAUAUUAGUUUUAUUC